UAUUUGUGGUUUUGGUCAAGAAGAAAAUGAUAGAAGGUGGAUAACAAUUUGAAAAAUGAAAGUUCUAGAGAGAGUUAAGCAUUUCAUAUGAAUGGUGGUGCAUGGUAGAAUUCUAACAAAUGUUAUGAAGAAUAGAAUGGGACUUGCUUCUGCUGUUUGUUUGUAGCUACUGUGAGAAUAUAUAACAUUUAAUAAUAAGAAGAUUAUCGCUCAUGUUCUAA
rnacentral:lncRNA from 1 species